rnacentral:misc_RNA from 1 species
AAGUCGUAACAAGGUUUCCGUAGGUGAACCUGCGGAAGGAUCAUUAAUGAAGUUUGGGCUUCGGCCCUCUCUCUUCUACACACUUGUGAACUUACACCGUUGCUUUGGCAGGUUUCCGGAUGGGCAUCAAACCCUGAAGGUCAGGCCGAGAGGCGCCUGCCAGAGACACUUAUCCACCCUUUUUUAUUGUCUGAUUUUUGUUUUAAACAAAUUAUGAAAAAACUUUCAACAAUGGAUCUCUUGGCUCUG